AUGGCGGCGUCUCUGCAAGGCCUAUACAAUGGGGGCAGCGGCUUGGGCGGGAGGGUCGUCCACGCCAGGAGCGGCGGUCGCCGGUCAGCUGCGGCGGUGAAGCGGCUGCUGUCGAGGUUGAGGCGCUCUUGGAGAAGACGCACGGCGCGGCCGAGGCGAACCGCGGUGAGGUUCGGGUAUGACCUGCAUAGCUACUACCAGAACUUCGACGACGGCACUGCCUCCCGCGCCCACCACCGCUUGUAG
rnacentral:lncRNA from 1 species